rnacentral:rRNA from 1 species
ACUGAACGCUGGCGGCAUGCCUUACACAUGCAAGUCGAACGGUAACAGGUCUUCGGAUGCUGACGAGUGGCGAACGGGUGAGUAAUACAUCGGAACGUGCCCGAGAGUGGGGGAUAACGAGGCGAAAGCUUUGCUAAUACCGCAUACGAUCACAGGAUGAAAGCAGGGGACCGCAAGGCCUUGCGCUCACGGAGCGGCCGAUGGCAGAUUAGGUAGUUGGUGGGAUAAAAGCUUACCAAGCCGACGAUCUGUAGCUGGUCUGAGAGGACGACCAGCCACACUGGGACGGAGACACGGCCCAGACGCCUACGGGAGGCUGCAGUGGGGAAUUUUGGACAAUGGGCGCAAGCCUGAUCCAGCCAUGCCGCGUGCAGGAUGAAGGCCGUCGGGUUGUAAACUGCUUUUGUACGGAACGAAAAGACUCUGGUUAAUACCUGGGGUCCAUGACGGUACCGUAAGAAUAAGCACCGGCUAACUACGUGCCAGCCGCCGCAGUAAAAC